AGUGAACGCUGGCGGUAGGCCUAACACAUGCAAGUCGAACGGCAGCACAGGAGAGCUUGCUCUCUGGGUGGCGAGUGGCGGACGGGUGAGGAAUACAUCGGAAUCUACUCUGUCGUGGGGGAUAACGUAGGGAAACUUACGCUAAUACCGCAUACGACCUACGGGUGAAAGCAGGGGAUCUUCGGACCUUGCGCGAUUGAAUGAGCCGAUGUCGGAUUAGCUAGUUGGCGGGGUAAAGGCCCACCAAGGCGACGAUCCGUAGCUGGUCUGGGAGGAUGAUCGGCCACACUGGAACUGAGACACGGUCCAGACUCCUACGGGAGGCAGCAGUGGGGAAUAUUGGACAAGGGGCGCAAGCCUGAUCCAGCCAUACCGCGUGGGUGAAGAAGGCCUUCGGGUUGUAAAGCCCUUUUGUUGGGAAAGAAAUCCAGCUGGCUAAUACCCGGUUGGGAUGACGGUACCCAAAGAAUAAGCACCGGCUAACUUCGUGCCAGCAGCCGCAGUAA
rnacentral:rRNA from 1 species